rnacentral:rRNA from 1 species
AUUGAACGCUGGCGGCAGGCCUAACACAUGCAAGUCGAACGAGUGGCGGACGGGUGAGUAAUGUCUGGGAAACUGCCUGAUGGAUGGGGAUAACUACUGGAAACGGUAGCUACUACCGCAUACCAUCAGAUGUGCCCAGCUGUGAUUAGCUAGUUGGUGGGGUAACGGCUCACCAAGGCGACGAUCCCUAGCUGGUCUGAGAGGAUGACCAGCCACAAUGGAAAUGAGACAAGGUCCAGACCCCUGCGGGAGGGAGCAGUGGGGAAUAUUGCAAAAUGGGAGCAAGCCUGAUGCAGCCAUGCCGGGUGUAUGAAGAAGGCCUUCUGGUUGGAAAGUACUUUCAGCGGGGGGGCGUUACCCGCAGAAGAAGCACCGGCUAACUCCGUGCCAGCAGCCGCGGUAAUUC